rnacentral:rRNA from 32 species
CGACUCUCGGCAACGGAUAUCUCGGCUCUCGCAUCGAUGAAGAACGUAGCGAAAUGCGAUACUUGGUGUGAAUUGCAGAAUCCCGUGAACCAUCGAGUCUUUGAACGCAAGUUGCGCCCGAAGCCAUUUGGUCGAGGGCACGUCUGCCUGGGCGUCACGC